rnacentral:rRNA from 1 species
CUUUAGUGGCGGACGGGUGAGUAACACGUGAGAAUCUGCCCUUAGGAGGAGGAUAACAGCUGGAAACGGUUGCUAAUACUCCAUAUGCCGAGAGGUGAAAGGAAGUAUCUGCCUAAGGAGGAGCUCGCGUCUGAUUAGCUAGUUGGUAGGGUAAUAGCCUACCAAGGCGACGAUCAGUAGCUGGUUUGAGAGGAUGAUCAGCCACACUGGGACUGAGACACGGCCCAGACUCCUACGGGAGGCAGCAGUAGGGAAUUUUCCGCAAUGGGCGAAAGCCUGACGGAGCAAUACCGCGUGAGGGAUGACGGCCUGUGGGUUGUAAACCUCUUUUCUCAAGGAAGAAGUUCUGACGGUACUUGAGGAAUAAGCAUCGGCUAACUCUGUGCCAGCAGCCGCGGUAAUACAGAGGAUGCAAGCGUUAUCCGGAAUCACUGGGCAUAAAGCGUCUGUAGGUUGUUUAGUAAGUCUGCUGUUAAAGACUGGGGCUCAACCCCAGAAAAGCAGUGGAAACUGCUAGACUUGAGUGUGGUAG